rnacentral:lncRNA from 1 species
AGCAAAACCCCGGUAGGAGUAUAUUCAGCAGAGAGUUGGAGGAAAGGAACUGGAGACCCUGAAUCUAGAAAACACUUCCAAGGAGCUUUGCUGUAAGAAACAUUUCUUAGACCUGCUUCAUCGAUCCAUUCCACUUCUAUGGCCAGCCCUGCCAGUUUAGUAUGUCAUCACCUGGGGCCUGGAUUGCAGCAACAGUGUUCCAGCUCUUCUGGCCCUGGAUCUGUGCAACUUCUAGCAAAUUUAUCCUUGUGUAAGCUUCUUUUCCCACCUGGGAUUCCCCUUUGGGAGAAGCUGGCAUAAGUCUCUAUUUCCUGU